ACUCGUUACCACUUUUAUCAUCGUUUCGGAAGGCAAAUAUUUUUGUUUGGCGAUUCCACAAGGAUGCCUUCUGCAAGAUAAAAAAUUAAGGUGCCACAAGGAAGAAAAACGCACACAGGACCAGAUGCGUGCUACAGGCCACUGGGCACGUACAUUUUCAUCUCCGUUGACCUGCAGGGAGCCUGUGAGCCAUGUGCUGAAUAAUAACAAACGCAGAACAGUUCCAAGAGCCAGGCACUAUUUUAAGUGCCUUACGUAUACUCAUCCUUGACAACAAGCUCUUAAGGUCAGGAAAUGGAACCACCUGAGGCAAAAUAACUUGCCUGAGGUGAUGCAGCCAUGGUGACAGAGCUGGAUUUGAACACAGAAGUCUGAUAAACCUCCUACCAUGUAUCUCUCCCAGAGAAGGUAGCCAAAUCAUGAUGCGUCUCUGGACUUCCUCCACCACCUGCCGGGGUACAGUUCCCAGAGUGCUUCCUUAGAGUUGAACCAAGAGUGCUGACAGCAGCUUUAAUGGUUGUUAGUGGGACUGAAUGAAAGGAUGUCUAUUGGAUGUUUGCACAGAGUUGCUGCUCAGUGAAAAAGAAAAAGAGAAAAAAGUUCUUGAGCUACAGUGAGACCCCCAAAGAGAUGUUAAACAAAAUUCAUGAUUUGUUUGGAAGUUUCCAAAACUAGAAUUUCUUUGCCUCAUUAAACUAUGGCUUUCUUCUUUUUAUUCUCCUCAGUAUGAAUUACCUUAUGAGUUUUCUGAUCCCUAAAGUAAAAAAAAAAAAAAAAAGUUUGUUGUAAAAAAAAAAAAAAGAUAACAGAAAACCAAAGAAGAAAGUGAAAAUUCCCUGAAAUCCUACCAAUGAGAGGAAACAUCUAUGAAAACUUCACUCUCUAUCCUCUUGGAGUUUUCCCUGUGUCUUUAUAUACGUAUAUACAUAUCUAGAUGAAAGGUUGGGGGAAAAUAGAUCAGGCUAUACAAUCUUGUUUACCCGCAUUUUUCACUUCAUGUAAUGUGGACGUUUUGGCAUGUCAAUAGAUCUAGUUCCACAUCUUCAUUUUUAAUCAUUACAAACUGCUUCACUGUGUGUAUGUUUCAUAAUUAAACAUUCCUCUAUUGAAUGACACUGAUUAUUUGCUUUAUUGCUACAAUAAACAAGCCUGGAUGAUUAAAGGCACAUCAAUUUCUUCUUUUUGAUUACUUCCUGAGAAUAAAUUCCUAGAACUAAAAUUCUUUGAUCAAAGAGUGUGUCCAUUUUUAAGGAUUUUAAUGUAUUAUGUCUAUUUCCAUUUCCCUCCCUCCCCCAACCCCUCGAAAACUGUACUUCUUAAAAAAUUUUUUUUAAUUCUUGGCUU